UACCAGCACCCCGAGUGGUCGGGACGUUUAUUGGGCCUAAAGCAUCCGUAGCCGGUUCUACAAGUCUUCCGUUAAAUCCACCUGCUUAACAGAUGGGCUGCGGAAGAUACUAUAGAGCUAGGAGGCGGGAGAGGCAAGCGGUACUCGAUGGGUAGGGGUAAAAUCCGUUGAUCCAUUGAAGACCACCAGUGGCGAAGGCGGCUUGCCAGAACGCGCUCGACGGGUGAGGGAUGAAAGCUGGGGGAGCAAACCGGAUUAGAAACC
rnacentral:rRNA from 1 species